rnacentral:rRNA from 1 species
AGAGUUUGAUUCUGGCUCAGAUUGAACGCUGGCGGCGUGCUUAACACAUGCAAGUCGAACGUGAAAGUCCUUCGGGACGAGUAAAGUGGCGAACGGGUGAGUAACGCGUGGAUAAUCUACCCUUAAGAUGGGGAUAACGGCUGGAAACGGUCGCUAAUACCGAAUACGCUCCCGAUUUUAUCGUUGGGGGGAAAGAUGGCCUCUGCUUGCAAGCUAUCGCUUAAGGAUGAGUCCGCGUCCCAUUAGCUAGUUGGCGGGGUAACGGCCCACCAAGGCAACGAUGGGUAGCCGGUCUGAGAGGAUGACCGGCCACACUGGAACUGGAACACGGUCCAGACUCCUACGGGAGGCAGCAGUGGGGAAUAUUGCGCAAUGGGCGAAAGCCUGACGCAGCGACGCCGCGUGAGGGAUGAAGGUUCUCGGAUCGUAAACCUCUGUCAGGGGGGAAGAAACCCCCUCGUGUGAAUAAUGCGAGGGCUUGACGGUACCCCCAAAGGAAGCACCGGCUAACUCCGUGCCAGCAGCCGCGGUAAUACGGAGGGUGCAAGCGUUAAUCGGAAUCACUGGGCGUAAAGCGCACGUAGGCGGCUUGGUAAGUCAGGGGUGAAAUCCCACAGCCCAACUGUGGAACUGCCUUUGAUACUGCCAGGCUUGAGUACCGGAGAGGGUGGCGGAAUUCCAGGUGUAGGAGUGAAAUCCGUAGAUAUCUGGAGGAACACCGGUGGCGAAGGCGGCCACCUGGACGGUAACUGACGCUGAGGUGCGAAAGCGUGGGUAGCAAACAGGAUUAGAUACCCUGGUAGUCCACGCUGUAAACGAUGGGUGCUGGGUGCUGGGAUGUAUGUCUCGGUGCCGUAGCUAACGCGAUAAGCACCCCGCCUGGGGAGUACGGUCGCAAGGCUG